AUUGAACGCUGGCGGAAUGCUUUACACAUGCAAGUCGAACGGCAGCACGGGAGCUUGCUCCUGGUGGCGAGUGGCGAACGGGUGAGUAACAUAUCGGAACGUAUCCAAUAAUGGGGGAUAACUAAUCGAAAGGUUGGCUAAUACCGCAUACGCCCUGAGGGGGAAAGCUGGGGAUCUUCGGACCUAGCGUUGAUGGAGCGGCCGAUAUCUGAUUAGCUAGUUGGUGGGGUAAAGGCUCACCAAGGCGACGAUCAGUAGCUGGUCUGAGAGGACGACCAGCCACACUGAAACUGAGACACGGUCCAGACUCCUACGGGAGGCAGCAGUGGGGAAUUUCGGACAAUGGGCGCAAGCCUGAUCCAGCCAUUCCGCGUGAGUGAAGAAGGCCUUCGGGUUGUAAAGCUCUUUCGCAAGGGAAGAAACGAUAGUGACGAAUAAUCACUGUUAAUGACGGUACCUUGAUAAGAAGCACCGGCUAACUACGUGCCAGCAGCCGCCGUAAUAC
rnacentral:rRNA from 1 species